GAUGAACGCUGGCGGCGUGCCUAAUACAUGCAAGUCGAGCGAACAGACGAGGAGCUUGCUCCUUUGAUGUUAGCGGCGGACGGGUGAGUAACACGUAGGUAACCUACCUAUAAGACUGGGAUAACUUCGGGAAACCGGAGCUAAUACCGGAUAAUAUUUCGAACCGCAUGGUUCGAUAGUGAAAGAUGGCUUUGCUAUCACUUAUAGAUGGACCUGCGCCGUAUUAGCUAGUUGGUAAGGUAACGGCUUACCAAGGCAACGAUACGUAGCCGACCUGAGAGGGUGAUCGGCCACACUGGAACUGAGAAACGGUCCAGACUCCUACGGGAGGCAGCAGUAGGGAAUCUUCCGCAAUGGGCGAAAGCCUGACGGAGCAACGCCGCGUGAGUGAUGAAGGUCUUCGGAUCGUAAAACUCUGUUAUUAGGGAAGAACAAACGUGUAAGUAACUGUGCACGUCUUGACGGUACCUAAUCAGAAAGCCACGGCUAACUACGUG
rnacentral:rRNA from 1 species